rnacentral:tRNA from 1 species
UGCCCUAUUGUGUAACGGUAGCACAGCAGAUUCUGGUUCUGUUUGUCAGGGUUCGAAUCCUUGUGGGGCAA